rnacentral:rRNA from 1 species
AGUGAACGCUGGCGGUAGGCCUAACACAUGCAAGUCGAACGGCAGCACAGUAAGAGCUUGCUCUUACGGGUGGCGAGUGGCGGACGGGUGAGGAAUACAUCGGAAUCUACUUUUUCGUGGGGGAUAACGUAGGGAAACUUACGCUAAUACCGCAUACGACCUACGGGUGAAAGCAGGGGAUCUUCGGACCUUGCGCGAUUGAAUGAGCCGAUGUCGGAUUAGCUAGUUGGCGGGGUAAAGGCCCACCAAGGCGACGAUCCGUAGCUGGUCUGAGAGGAUGAGGAGCCACACUGGAGCUGAGACACGGUCCAGACGCCUACGGGAGGCAGCAGUGGGGAAUAUUGGACGAAGGGCGCAAGCCUGAUCCAGCCAUACCGCGUGGGUGAAGAAGGCCUUCUGGUUGUAAAGCCAUUUUGUUGGGAAAGAAAAGCAGCAGGUUAAUACCCCGCUGUUCUGACGGUACCCAAAGAAUAAGCACCGGCUAACUUCGUG